AGGGGUAUAGCUCAGUUGGUAGAGCGACGGUCUCCAAAACCGUAGGUCGAGGGUUCGAGCCCUUCUGCCCCUGCCA
rnacentral:tRNA from 3 species